rnacentral:tRNA from 1 species
UCUUCCGUAGUAUAGUGGUUAGUAUAUGAGCUUGUCAUUCUGGGUUUCCGAAUCCUCGACAUCGCUCGGGACCCGGGUUCAAUUCCCGGCGGGAGAG